rnacentral:rRNA from 1 species
GACGAACGCUGGCGGCGUGCCUAAUACAUGCAAGUUGAGCGAUGAAGAUUGGUGCUUGCACCAAUUUGAAGAGCAGCGAACGGGUGAGUAACGCGUGGGGAAUCUGCCUUUGAGCGGGGGACAACAUUUGGAAACGAAUGCUAAUACCGCAUAACAACUUUAAACAUAAGUUUUAAGUUUGAAAGAUGCAAUUGCAUCACUCAAAGAUGAUCCCGCGUUGUAUUAGCUAGUUGGUGAGGUAAAGGCUCACCAAGGCGAUGAUACAUAGCCGACCUGAGAGGGGCAUCGGCAACAUUGGGACUGGGACACUGCCCAAACUCCUUCUGGAGGCAGCAGUAGGGAAUCUUCCGCAAUGGACGAAAGUCUGACCGAGCAACGCCGCGUGAGUGCAGAAGGUUUUCGGAUCGUAAAACUCUGUUGGUAGGGAAGAACGUUGGUGAGAGUGGAAAGCUCAUCAAGUGACGGUAACUACCCAGAAAGGGACGGCUAACUACGUG